rnacentral:misc_RNA from 1 species
GAAAUGCGAUACGUAGUGUGAAUUGCAGAAUUCCGUGAAUCAUCGAAUCUUUGAACGCAUAUUGCGCCCGCGGCCUCGGCCAAGGGCAUGUCUGCCUGAGCGUCAUUAUAACACCUCACACCCCUUUUAGGGGAGUGGAUCUGGCCGUCCGGGCACUUCGGAGCCUGGUUGGCUGAAAGGCAGAUGCAAAGCCAGCAGCCCAUUUCAACGGCAAGGCGUGGUAGACCGCAUCGCGGGCGAUCGUCGUGCCGGGGCUGAUUGCGGCUUUCGCAUAAGCAGGAACCGCCGCUUUGAACGGACUUCGGUCCCGAAGGAGCAGGCCUUGACCCAUUGACCUCAGAUCAGGCAAGAUUACCCGCCGAAUUUAA